ACUGCACAUGAUUCCAGGGUGCCCCCCAGAAGAUUGGAAUGGCAAACCACUUCUGAGUAUUCUUCACCUGAAAAACCCUGAAAAGGCUCACCAUAAGUCAGAACUGACUUGACGUCACAUUAUUAUUCUUGUUAUCAUUAUUAUAUGCCAACUAUGAUGCUACCUAAAUGGAAAUAACUUUCAGACAGAUACUUACUCUCUGGUAACCUCCUCUUUGAGUUAGCCCUUCAUGAAUAUGUGGGACAGAUUUUGCAAAUGGUCAGGAAAUUUCAGUUAGUUCAGUUCAGGAGACCUAGAUUGCUAAUUAACACUUGCUGAUUGCGCUGCACUGUCUAUUGCCAGUUCUACUUUGAGAUUCAAUUCAAUGCACUGGUGCAAAGCCUUAAAUCACUUGGCAACAGGCUACCUGAAGGAUGAUGUUCCCCCUAUUUACAUAUCCAAACCUAUUAUCCUUAUCCGUGUUUCAGGGUCCUCCACCAAAUGAGGCAAGGCAGGUGGCUAUGAAAGAGGGCCUCUUCAGAAGUGCCUUCCAACCUGUGAAAUGCCCUCAUUGGAGAGGCUCGGCAGGCAAGUUGAGUAUGAACUUUUAGGCACUGACUGAGUCAAGGCCUUUAUUCUCCUAGGCAUUUAAAUGACUUUCUGCUCCUUCUUUUUCUUUUCUUUUUUCACUCUGCUUUCUGUUGCUACUAAUUUUAUUGUGUGAUGCAUUGUUUUUACUUUGUGGUACUUUCUAAUGCUACUGUAUUUUAAUUUUGAAACUUUUUUUAAUGUACUUGUGAACUGCCAGGAACUAGAAAGAAAGAAAGAAAGAAAGAAAGAAAGAAAGAAAGAAAGAAAGAAAGAAAGAAAGAAAGAAAGAAAGAAAGAAAGAAAGUGGUAUAGAAAGAAAGAAAGAAAGAAAGAAAGAAAGAAAGAAAGAAAGAAAGAAAGAAAGAAAGUGGUAUGCACUCGAAAUAGGACUGCUGAUUUUCUAUGCUUCCUGAUGUCUCCAGAUAAGGAGAUAAAUCUCAGGCUGAGUGGUCAGUUUGGAAGCCUGUUUACCCAGCCCAUGGAAUUUGAUGAAACCUAG
rnacentral:lncRNA from 1 species